GACGGGGGAUGCGAGCGUUAUCCGGAAUGAUUGGGCGUAAAGGGUCCGCAGGUGGCCCGGUCAGUCCGCUGUCAAAGCCUGGGGCUCAACCCUGGAGAGGCGGCGGAGACCACCGGGCUUGAGUCCGGUAGGGGCAGAGGGAAUUCCCGGUGGAGCGGUGAAAUGCGUAGAUAUCGGAAGGAACGCCGGUGGCGAAAGCGGCGCACUGGAUCUCCACUGACGCUGAGGCGCGAAAGCCAGGGGAGCAAACGGG
rnacentral:rRNA from 1 species